GGACAAAAGGACGACCUGGCUGCAACAUCUGUCACCUCAUUGAUCACCAGGGUUGAAUUGGCUGAUCUGGCUGGCUAGGUGGAUGUCCCCUUCUUUCCUCACCACUCUUUGUGCCACACAACUAGACUUUAUUAUUAUUAUUAUUAUUAUUAUUAUUAUUAUUAUUAUUAUUAUUAUUAUUAAUUCAUUUCUAUCCCACUUUUCUCCCGUGGGUGGGAUUCAAAGCAGAGUACAAAUUAUAAAAUUCAUACAAGUACAUUGGACAGCAAUACAGUGUUCCCU
rnacentral:snRNA from 1 species